CCGUGCCUUUGUUAUUUUUUUGAUAUUAAGUUAUUAACUGCUUGUCGACUUUUGAGUUGCACAAUCUCAUCGAACCACAAAGACGACUAAAUAUACAGUUUAUCUUAUGCUGGUCUUCUAAUUGCUUUCGAAUCAUCCUCUAUCCCUCCCACUCAGGCCUUAUAAGGUUGUCCACUGUGUUCGAUUGGCAGUCUGAAAUUGCAGUUAAUUAAUCUUCCACGAAUCUAGAAGAAAAGAAAUAAGGAUGUUUUUAUCGCAGUUGCUUCGUCUGAUAUGCUUGAUCCUCCUCUUAUCUCAAGUCUCUUGCAUAAGAAUUCCACCACCGCCACCCAUUCAAAGUGGCCGCAAGCACGAUAAACCAAGGCCAGGACCAUCAGGGAAGCCAAGGCCAGCAGGUCCACGUCCAUGAUGAAUUGAACAACAACGGAUUUGUACCCAAAAAAAAAGAGAGCAGUGUUUCCCAUCUUUACUUACGUAUCAGCAAACUGCAUGCCAGAUAGAAUAGUGUUCUGCUAACAUUUAGUACGUUUUAUUUAUCUUUUUGUUAUAUGAUCAGAGAUCAGUGGAGUUUACUUUUCAGGAUCUCACCAAACUGUUAAAGGGACGUUCAUCAUUUGACUUCAAAUAAGUCAAAGCUUUUGGUCAAUUUUAACUCGUGUAACUUUAUGUUAUCAGCAUGUAAUUUGGCUGUACACUUGUUCUUGUAUAAAAUGAUCAAGCCAAGGUCCGAAAGAUCAAAUUUAUAUACAAGCGAAAUUUGUACUC